GGUUGUGGUGGCUCAGUGAUUAGAGCACUUGCCUUGUUAGCGAGAGGUCGCGGGUUCAAGCCCCGCUCGUACCU